GCCGGGUGUGGUGGCACACGCCUGUAAUCCCAGCUACUCGGGAGGCUGAGGCAGGAGAAUUGGUUGAGCCCAGGAGGCGGAGGCUGCAGUGAGCCGAGAUCGUGCCACUGCACUCCAGCCUGGGCGACAGAGCAAGACUCUGUCUCAA
rnacentral:SRP_RNA from 1 species